UACGUAGGGUGCAAGCGUUAAUCGGAAUUACUGGGCGUAAAGCGUGCGCAGGCGGUGAUGUAAGACAGAUGUGAAAUCCCCGGGCUCAACCUGGGAACUGCAUUUGUGACUGCAUCGCUGGAGUGCGGCAGAGGGGGAUGGAAUUCCGCGUGUAGCAGUGAAAUCGUAGAUAUGCGGAGGAACACCGAUGGCGAAGGCAAUCCCCUGGGCCUGCACUGACGCUCAUGCACGAAAGCGUGGGGAGCAAACAGG
rnacentral:rRNA from 1 species